UUGUUGAAACAGUAAGGGCAUGUUUGGCCGCAAUUAACACUCCUGAUGCAUUUCUUGCAAAGAAGGACUAUCCGCCAAACGCUGUCUAGGGUUUGAAGGCGGUCGCUGGGAUCAGUGUGGUUGAUUCGGAGACGGCAGCCGUGACAAUCAGACAAAUUGGCCAAGUCCCUCGUGACCUUUUUGGGCAAUUGAUCAAACGCGGAUGAUGAUGAAGAAGUCGAAUUUGUGGAGUGAAUUGGAGCUAAAUUUUUAGGGUUUGUUGAAGGAUUAGCAGUGGAAGACAGCCGUGACAAUCUGACAAAUUGGCCAAGUCCCUCGUGACCCUUUUGGGCAAUUGAUCAAACGCGGAUGAUGAUGAUGAGGUCGAAUUUGUGGAGUGAAUU
rnacentral:lncRNA from 1 species